rnacentral:rRNA from 1 species
AUUGAACGCUGGCGGCAGGCUUAACACAUGCAAGUCGAGCGGGGUGAUGGUGCUUGCACUAUCACUUAGCGGCGGACGGGUGAGUAAUGCUUAGGAAUCUGCCUAUUAGUGGGGGACAACAUCUCGAAAGGGAUGCUAAUGCCGCAUACGUCCUACGGGAGAAAGCAGGGGGUCACUUGUGACCUUGCGCUAAUAGAUGAGCCUAGGUCGGAUUAGCUAGUUGGUGGGGUAAAGGCCUACCAAGGCGACGAUCUGUAGCGGGUCUGAGAGGAUGAUCCGCCACACUGGGACUGAGACACGGCCCAGACUCCUACGGGAGGCAGCAGUGGGGAAUAUUGGACAAUGGGGGGAACCCUGAUCCAGCCAUGCCGCGUGUGUGAAGAAGGCCUUAUGGUUGUAAAGCACUUUAAGCGAGGAGGAGGCUCUUUUGGUUAAUACCCAAGAUGAGUGGACGUUACUCGCAGAAUAAGCACCGGCUAACUCUGUGCCAGCCGCCGCAGUAACAC